AACGAACGCUGGCGGCAGGCUUAACACAUGCAAGUCGAACGCCCCGCAAGGGGAGUGGCAGACGGGUGAGUAACGCGUGGGAACAUACCCUUUUCUACGGAAUAGCACUGGGAAACUGGAAUUAAUACCGUAUACGCCCUACGGGGGAAAGAUUUAUCGGGGAAGGAUUGGCCCGCGUUGGAUUAGCUAGUUGGUGGGGUAAAGGCCUACCAAGGCGACGAUCCAUAGCUGGUCUGAGAGGAUGAUCAGCCACAUUGGGACUGAGACACGGCCCAAACUCCUACGGGAGGCAGCAGCGGGGAAUAUUGGACAAUGGGCGCAAGCCUGAUCCAGCCAUGCCGCGUGAGUGAUGAAGGCCUUAGGGUUGUAAAGCUCUUUCACCGAUGAAGAUAAUGACGGUAGUCGGAGAAGAAGCCCCGGCUAACUUCGUG
rnacentral:rRNA from 1 species